rnacentral:rRNA from 1 species
GGGCGACCUGCCCACUUGUGGGGUAUAGCCGGCCCAACGGCCGGGUAAUCCCGCAUACGCUUCUCUGGCUGCAUGGCUGGAGGAGGAAAGCCGUAAGGCGCAAGUGGAGGGGCUCGCGGCCUAUCAGCUAGUUGGCGGGGUAACGGCCCACCAAGGCUACGACGGGUAGCUGGUCUGAGAGGAUGGCCAGCCACAUUGGGACUGAGAUACGGCCCAGACUCCUACGGGAGGCAGCAGUGGGGAAUCUUGCGCAAUGGUCGAAAGACUGACGCAGCGACGCCGCGUGCGGGAGGAAGCCCUUCGGGGUGUAAACCGCUGUUACUCGGGACGAACCUCCUGUUUCGACAGGAUUGACGGUACCGGGGGAGGAAGCACCGGCUAACUCUGUGCCAGCAGCCGCGGUAAUACAGAGGGUGCGAGCGUUGUCCGGAAUCACUGGGCGUAAAGGGCGCGUA